CAGAGGUCCCGAGCGUUGUUCGGAUUCACUGGGCGUAAAGGGUGCGUAGGUGGUGAGGUAAGUCGGAUGUGAAAUCUCCGGGCUCAACCCGGAAAUGGCAUUGGAAACUACCUUGCUGGAGGAUUUGAGGGGGGAUUGGAAUACUUGGUGUAGCAGUGAAAUGCGUAGAUAUCAAGUGGAACACCAGUGGCGAAGGCGAAUCCCUGGAAAAUACCUGACACUGAGGCACGAAAGCUAGGGGAGCAAACAGGAUUAGAUACCCUGGUAGUCCUAGCCCUAAACGGUGCUUGCUUGCUGUAAGAGGAAUCGACCCCCUCUUGUGGCGGAGCUAACGCGUUAAGCAAGCCGCCUGGGAAGUACGGUCGCAAGAUUA
rnacentral:rRNA from 1 species